rnacentral:misc_RNA from 1 species
GAUGAAGAACGCAGCGAAAUGCGAUAAGUAAUGUGAAUUGCAGAAUUCAGUGAAUCAUCGAAUCUUUGAACGCACCUUGCGCCCUUUGGCUAUUCCGAAGGGCAUGCCUGUUUGAGUAUCAUGAACACCUCAACUCUCAUGGUUCGCCAUGAUGAGCUUGGACUCUGGGGGUCUUGCUGGCCUAUGGUCAGCUCCUCUCAAAUAAAUCAGCUUGCCAGUGUUUGGUGGCAUCACAGGUGUGAUAACUAUCUACGCUUGUGGUUUUCCAUCAGGUAACCUUCAGUGAUGGAGGUUCGCUGGAGCUCAUAAAUGUCCCUCCUCAGCGAGGACAGCUUUUUGAACGUUUGAUCUCAAAUCAGGUAGGACUACCCGCUGAACUUAAGCAUAUCAAUAAGCGGAGGA